rnacentral:rRNA from 1 species
AGAGUUUGAUCCUGGCUCAGAAUCAACGCUGGCGGCGUGCCUAACACAUGCAAGUCGAACGCGAAAGUCCCGCAAGGGAUAAGUAGAGUGGCAAACGGGUGAGUAACACGUGGGUGACCUGCCUUCGAGCGGGGGAUAACGUCCCGAAAGGGACGCUAAUACCGCAUGACAUCCUGCCUUUGAAGAGGUGGAGAUCAAAGCUGGGGAUCGCAAGACCUAGCACUCGAAGAGGGGCCCGCGCCUGAUUAGCUAGUUGGUGGGGUAACGGCUCACCAAGGCGACGAUCAGUAGCCGGCCUGAGAGGGCGGACGGCCACACUGGGACUGAGACACGGCCCAGACUCCUACGGGAGGCAGCAGUGGGGAAUUGUUCGCAAUGGGCGCAAGCCUGACGACGCAACGCCGCGUGGAGGACGAAGACCUUCGGGUCGUAAACUCCUUUCGAUCGAGACGAACGGCCUCCGGGUGAACAAUCCGGAGGAAUGACGGUACCGAGAGAAGAAGCCCCGGCUAACUCCGUGCCAGCAGCCGCGGUAAUACGGGGGGGGCAAGCGUUGUUCGGAAUUACUGGGCGUAAAGGGCUCGUAGGUGGCCAACUAAGUCAGACGUGAAAUCCCUCGGCUUAACCGGGGAACUGCGUCUGAUACUGGACGGCUUGAGAUUGGGAGAGGGAUGCGGAAUUCCAGGUGUAGCGGUGAAAUGCGUAGAUAUCUGGAGGAAACACCGGUGGCNAAGGCGGCAU